rnacentral:rRNA from 1 species
UACGUAGGGUGCGAGCGUUGUCCGGAAUUAUUGGGCGUAAAGAGCUCGUAGGCGGUUUGUCGCGUCUGCCGUGAAAGUCCGGGGCUCAACUCCGGAUCUGCGGUGGGUACGGGCAGACUAGAGGUGAUGUAGGGGAGACUGGAAUUCCUGGUGUGAGCGGUGAAAUGCGCAGAUAUCGGGAGGAACACCGGUGGCGAAGGCGGUUCUCUGGGCCUUACCUGACGCUGAGGAGCGAAAGCGUGGGGAGCGAACAGG